ensembl:lncRNA
CUGACCUGUACAGAGCACUCUGCAGUUUACAAAGCGCUUUCACACACCUUGACUCAUUUCCACCCUACGACAACCCCGUGAGGUUGGGAUUAUCAUUCCCAGUCAAGAACUGAAGAGACUGAGCCCCUGAGAGUGGCUUGUCCACUAUUGUCACUGGUAGAUGGCCAAACUGUGACCGGAAGCCUGGUCUUCCUGCUCACAGACGGAGAAGAGCGUGUCCUGGGGCCCUCUCACUACCAGGCCCUUGUCAGUUGUUACCUGCAUACGUGAGGGAAGCUGAGGCUCGCUAGGUUUGCUUAGCAAUUUGCUCAGGGUCUCCAACCAGCUGGUGAGUGCUGUCAUGAGGGGCCGAACCCAUGUGGUUCUAACUCUAAAGUCAAUGGAUACAUGAAUUUAUUCGGUGAGAUCAUCAGCCGUUUGGUCCUGUCCAAAACAUCCAUAAGACAUUUGGUCCGUGCCAAAAGGUCCUUGAUAUUUGGUCAUAUUUAUUCUUGUCCAAAAUGUCUAUGGAGACAUUAGGUCCAUGCCAAAAGGUUCUUGACAUUUGGUCCUGUCCAAAACCAUUUGGCAUGGACCAAAUAUGCUCAUGGACAUUUUGGACAGGACCAAAGCUCAAGGACCUUUUGGCGUGGACCUAAUGUCUUAUGGACGUUUUGGACAGGACACCCUGCAAGGAUUAGGAUGCAUGGCCUCCCAAAUCCCAGGUCUUCUCCUUGACCCAGAGGGACUUCUCCAUGGGCACUGAGCUGUGGCUGGUCACCCUGUUGCAGUGGUUCCUAGUCUGUCGAGAGUCAUGAUUUCCAGCAUCACCCUUACCCUCGUCAUCACUUACUAGGUGCUUACUAUAUGCCAACGUCUUCACCAGGAACAUUAUGUAACUGAUGCUCUGGGCUGAAUGGUGUCCCCUCCAAAUGCAUGUGUACCUCAGUACCUCAGAUUAUGACUGUAUUUGAAGAUACGGUCUUUAAAGAGAUAACAAAUGUAAAAUGAGGUCAUUAGGGUGGGCCCUAGUUCAAUAUGACUGGUGUCCUUAUAAGAAGAGGAAAUUAGGACAUGGACGCACACAGAGGGAGAACCAUGUGAAGACACAGGGAGAAGACGACCAUCGGUAAGUCAAGGAGAGAAGCUACACAAAGAACCAAUCCUGCCGACACCUUGAUCUUGGACCUCUGGCCUCCGGAACUCCAAUAAGGCACUGUGCCUAAGAGAACACACCCACAGGAGGCAGCCUGUGUAGCCUGCCAUCUCAGCUGCCUCACUUGCCAGCUGUGGGACCUAGGGCAGGUUGCGUAACCUCUUGGCGCCUCUGUCUCCUCGUCCGGGAAGCACAGAAGUGUGUACCACAGAGCCCCUCGGGGGCUGUUGGCAGGACCACUGGGUCCAUGUGCCCAGAGCCCUCUGCAGCUUCCCUUCCAAGUGAGACACCACACCUGACCAACCCUGGUUUGUUUACUGUCCGCCUUCCAACAGAAGCCAGUCCACUGACUGCAGAUCAUUUUCCCUGGGGUUUAGGAAACCAGGCUCUUCACUCACACGUUCUCCCGGCCUGCACAGAAGGCCCGUCUCUUCCUUGGUGGGUGGAUGUUGGUAACUUGAAUAUUCCACCCCUCUCUCUUGCUUCUAGGACUUUGUAUGUGCCUUUCCCUUCUCUUGGAAACUUUUCUCUCUGUCUCUUUGUAUGACCAACUCAUACUCAUCCUUCAGGCGUCAGCUUAGAUACGACCCUUCCUGAGAACCGUGACUUCAUCCUGGUUUCUGGGCCCCCACAGUUCCCACCACAGAAAUGCCCACGGCACUGCAACUUCUCUUUGUUGUCAUGGUCUGUCUGUGCCCCCGCCUCCCCCUACCCCAUUAGACUGCGUGCUCCCUGAGGGCAGGAACAGGCCCUCUGUCCACUGUUGGAUCCACGGGGCAUGUCUGACACACAGUGCAUAAUUCACAAAUUUUUAUUGGCUGAAUAAACCCAAAGGUCAUGUUUUAGGAGAGGACAAAGAUGAUGAAAUUAACACCGCCGGCCCCACUUAUCCCUCCCUUGUUUUGCAAGGAGCACCCUCGGUUGGCGUUGCUCGUUGGCGUGUGGAGAGGAGCAGGGCAGAAGCUUUCAGGGCUGGGGGAGGGAAAAAAAUUUGACUCAGGUUCUGUGGACGAAUGUUCUGGAAUUUGAACAGUGGGAAUGAGUGGGAAAGGGGGCAGAGAUUUGAACGGACACCAUGAGGAAGAGGACUUGUGGAGAGCGAGAGAUGUCGAAGGAGGAUUUGUGUGUGUGUGAGCAGCUGUCAAAAUCCCUCCUCAGUGUCCCCACCGGGCUUCAAUCAAGGGUGGCCCCUGGACCAGCAGCAGCAGCAUCACUGGACGGUCAGAAAUGCAGCUUCCCUGGCUCCGCCCUGGACCUAUGGAAUCAGGGUGGGACCUGGCACUCUGGGCUUUAACAAGCCCUCCAGGGGAUUCUGACCAUGUUCGAUUGAGUCUGGGCACCAACUGCGGUUAAAACCUACACGUCUUUUUACUCCUCUUUAGAGCUGCUCCUGCGCUGUCUUGGGAGAGCCGCCCCGGAGGCGUCAGGCUUCAGGAUGGAGCAGGAAGGCCAAGUUCUCUUCCCACUCACUCACAAGCUCUUGGCUUGCAUCUGCUUUACCCUCUCGGUCCUGCCAAUGACCUCUCUUUGACAGGGAAACUGAGGCUCAGAGAGGUAAGGAGCUGGCCCAAGAGAGAUCAGCGGAGUGAACGAGUUGGGCUCUGGUGUUGGGACCUGAUUUCUAGCACCACUUUGUGCUUUUCUAAGGCCUUUGUCACUCUGAGUCCAGGCUUUACUGUCUGUAAAAUGGGACAUGGGUGCCUUGAGCCAGCGGUGGGGUCGAAGGGUGGAAGGAAAGUAUAAAGAGCCUCAUGUGGAAGAUGCUAUGACAGUAGAAGUGUACUGUCUGGUUGCUCACUGGGGACGUGGCUUCUCCAACUUGACACUUCUAGUAAUUUGGGGGUUGCUGACUCCAGGGCAUACUACUGUCCAGGACCCGGAGCCUGCAAGAGUUGCUGUGGUAUUUCUGCCAGAGAGAGGAAGAGAAGAGAGAGACAGAGACAGAGACAAAGAGAGAGACAAAGAGAAACAGAGAGACAGAGAGGGACAAAGGUAGAGAGACAGAGACAGAGACAGAGACAGAGACAGAGACAGAGGCAGAGACAGAGAGAGAAACAGAGACAGAGACAAAAAGCCCAAGACAGAGAGACAGAGACAGACAGAUGGACAGACAGAGAGACAGAGAUAGAGAGACAGAGAUAGAGAGAGAAACAGAGAGAGAGAGAAAGACAGACAGACAGACAGCGAGCAGGCGAGCAGACAGCGGCAGCUCCUGUCUCCUGGACGCGUCUGGAGGGAGCCUGUGUGGGGCUCUGACCCCAGUGCGCUCAUGCAGGACGGGAAUGAAAGUCAGCGGUGGUGUCCUGGGACGUUGCUGCAGACCUGUGGUUCGCAAGCUGGGCUGCCCGUUAGAAUCCCUGGGCAGCUUUGAAGAAUUUCCGCGUCCCGGCUGCACCUUGACCGAUGACUUUCGAGUCUCCGUGGACCGGGCCUGGGCUGCUGGUGAGGCUUCCUUCUGAAGAACUGACUUCCGGCUGCCACAGCACUAAACAUAAAAGCCAAGAGACGGUCAUAAGGAAACGGGGGCGGGGAGAGCGCGUUUGUUGGAAUCUCUUCUUCCACGGUCACACACUGGCUGAACAUAGCCUGGAGAGGGACUCGGCUCUCAAGGACACGCGUGAUUUGGACUGACGAUCCAGGUUAGACACCGGGAAUCCAGGAUAACCGCCCAUCUCCAAGUACUUAACUUUACACACAUCUGCAAAGUCCCUCUUGCCAAGUAAAGUAAUAUUUUUCACAGGCUCCAGCGACUAGGAAUGGGGGCAUCUUUGAGGGGCUGUUAUUCUGCUCACCACAAGUGCUCAGCACAGUAAGGACUUGGGGAAGGUUAGUUAUGCUGAUCUCAUCUAGGUCAUCUAGCUCAGCUGGUUCUGCUAAUGACUUGGAGAGGCAGACACUGCUACACGCCCAGAUUCUGUCACUUCCUUGCUGUGUGAACUUCGGCUGGUUACUUAGCGUCUCUGAACCUCACUUUCCUUCUCUGUAUAAUGGAGGAUAAAGUACCAAUCUUACAGUGUUGUUUGUGAUAAUAAAGUGAAAUAAAGCCGCUUAGAGCAUUGUCUGGCAUGUAGUAAGCACUAAGAGGCAUCAUCUAAAAUAAUAUUAACAACAGCAGCAUCAGUAGCAUCAUCUUCAUCUUACACGAAGGAUGUAAUCGGCCAUUCACAGUUGCAAGGUCUGUUGCAGACGCAGGCCUGUGGCUCCAAGGUCUGUGCUUUCUUCAGGAGCGAGAAAGGGACCUGUGGGCUCCUCAGGGAAGAAUGAAGGCCGGGGGUGGACUCUCCAAGAAGCAGAUUUCAGCUCAAUGAAAGAACUUUCUAUUAGGCCAGUUGUCUGGCAAAGGUGAGCCUCCUUUCCUGGGGGCUGCACAGAGACCCCCCACGGUCCCUUCUUCCAACUCCAGAGUCUCUGAGUAGGGUCUUCAGGAUGCAUUUGGCUGGCUUCCCGACCUCCUGCAGGAACGGGGCUGACCAGGUGCCGGGAGCUCCCUGUGGAGCGGGGUGGCGAGGGCUUCUGUGAGAAAGGCGUAGCUUCUGGUCUCCCCUCUGCACUCAUCUUCCAUUUCUCAGGACACCCUGUGGCUGGGCUGUUGGCAGAGGCCAUGGGAGUUCGCCAACAUACGAGCGGAAGGACAGACAUGGCAGCCCCUGCUAGAUCUUUGGUUUCUCACCCUUCAUUCUACAGAUGAGGAAACUGAGGCCCAGAGAGGUGCUGGGGUUUGCCUGAGGUCGGUCGUAAUGCAAGUGGGAAGAGACCUGGGACUGGAAUCCAGAUCUUGCAGCUCGCAGGAACAGCUUCUCUGUCCUCCAUCCCUCCCAGUACAGACGUACUGCAUGAGAGACACUGUGCCAGAUGCUCCCUUUUCAGCAGAGAAAAGAUACACACCCUCCCCUGCAUCCAAGCUCUGUGGAUUUCCUCCCCUGACAGUCCAUCCUUGGGGGCCUCCUGUCGAUCACCCCAGUGUGCCGAACGCUUUUCAGCCUCCAGGCCUUUGUCCCUGCUGUUCCUGCUGCUGGAGCCCCUUCUCCCUGCUCCGUGCAUGGCUCACUCCUUUCCUUCCCAGCACCUGGCCGGAUCCAUGGUGCCUGCCUCUUCUCUCUCUCUGGGGCUCGUUUUGCUUCCUUCGCUGGCUCCCACACAGCAGUCUGCUUGAGCUGAUUUCUUGCUCAUCAUCCGUGCCUCCUCUAGGCUCGGAGCCCCCUUAGGGCAGGGACUCUGUCACUGUUCCCACCACCAUGUCUCCACGGGCUCUGUGCUUGAAAUGUACCUGGUGACUGACUAAAUCAAUGUCUGCUUUCCAGUGGGCAAAAGAGUUAUUAACAAGGCGUCCUGCACAUGAGUAAGUAAUUAUGAAUUGUGGGAACUGCUGGGAGCGGGGUCUGCAGUGCUCCCGGGGGCCCGAUAUGUGGGGACCUGCCCCUGCUGGGUCUCCGCCAGGGCACUGAGACCUUGGGGCAGCAGUGGGUUCCUCUGAGGAGGAGCCCUGAUCCCCCAGACCAGGGCAGGCCUCCCGUCCUGUGGCUUGAUAGCUCCCUAGAGGCUUUCUUUACAGCACUCAUUGCAAUGAUACCCAUGUACACAGUUAGUUCUAUUUUUAUUGUGGUUAAAACCCCAUAGCAUACAUUUUACCAUUAGUGACAUUUAGCGCAUUCACAAUACUGCUCAAACAUCACUGCUGUCUGGUUCCAGACAUUUUUCAUCAUCUCCAAAGGAAGCCUCACACACUUUAAGCGGUCCCUUCCCGUGCUCCCACCCCGCGCCCCUGGCAACUGCUAAUCUACUUUCUGUCUCUAUGAAUUUGCCUAAUCUGGAUGUUUUAUAUUCAUCGAAUGAAAUUAGUAUUUAAAAAAAAUUUUUUUCUGUGUCAUCAUCUCCCCCAGGGUAGGAAUUGUGUCUGUCUGCCUGGCUUGCCUUUGCCGAGUUCUGGGCACAGACAAACAGCCGUGGCGGCACAGGAGGACGUUUUCUCCACCGCGCGUCUGUGAGCUCAUAGGAGGUGGGCUGUGCGUCUUAUAGGACCAGCGGCGUGCGCGUGCUCAGGUUCAGUUCCUCCAGCUGCCUCUUGCUGGAUCAAGUGUUACCUGAGGACAGUUGCUUAAUACCUCGAAGCAUCCAUUUCUUCAUCAAUAAAAAGUAGAUAGUGGUGAUGUUCGCCGCCUUGGGGUGACAUGAGGACAGAUGACCUGCCGCUGGCGCCAGGGCCUGGCCAGGAGCAGAAACUCAUGAACGUGAGCUAUUGUUAUUAUUUUCCAAGUUUUCAAUCCCAUGCUUUAGGAUAGAUAAUGAGCAGAGUCCGAACUCAGCAAAUGCAUUUUAGUUGGAAUGAUGCGUAAGAGGGUUUAAAAAUUAGGCCAGUGGACGUUCAGGUCAAAACUGCAGAUAGCUCAUUUGGGGUAAAGACAAGAAAGAGACCCCUUGCAUUAGCUUUUGCUAAGUUAUUCUACGAUGAUGAACAUCAACAACCUGGCAGAGGCUUACAGCCAUAGGGGUUGGCUUUGCUUUCUUUGUGGGUCCCUGUGGACCAGUUGUGGCUCUGCUCCUGUGUCUUUUCAUUCCAGGGUCCAGGCUGAGGAAGCUGACCUCACAUCUGGGAUGUGCCACUCCUGUGCCAGAGGGAAGAGGCAGGGAUGGCUGACAUCGUUACCACUCACAUCCGGAGGCUACGCCCAUCACAUUGCCAAGCUUGGUGUCUGGGGUGGGGGCAGGGCAGGGACUGUACUGCCCUCCUCCAAGCGGGCACCGCAGGUAGCCGAGCAGGGAGUAGGGAUGGAUAAUCCUCUCCCAGGGAGGGCAGCCAAUAACUGGGAAUAAUCAUAGGCGGGCCACCCUCUGCCCUGAGAGCUUUAGUUAUUUUGGGGGCGUGGUCUGACGCAUCUCUUCAGCUCGCUCACUUCAGUGCUCCACCUACAACCCAGCACCAUCACCCUAGGAGAUUUGGGGGGCUGUCAACUAAGAAUGGGUACAGUGAGUGGUCUGUGAGGGUCUCUUGCUCUGCAGAUUUGGUCCAUACACUGAAACCUAUGAAACCCCCUUCUUGGCAGUGUUAUCUAUGGUAGUAGAAAACGAGGAAUAGCCUAAAUAUCCCUCAAUAGGGGAAUGACAAGUGAACAGUGUUUUGUUCAUGCAAGGGCAUCUCUACUACCAUUGAAAUAGAUGAACCACAGCUAAAUAUUAAAUUGGAAGACUCUCCAAAAUGUAAUGGUGAGUGGAAAAAGCAGAUGUAGGAUGAUAUCAAUAGAAAAACAUGCAGUCUUUGAAACAGGGAAUUCCUCAAAAUGUUAAACACUGAGUUACCAUAUGACCCGGUAAUUCUGCUCCUAGGCAUACACCCAAGAGAAUUGAAAACACUUGUCCACACCAAAACUUGCAUAUGAAUGUUCAUGGCAGCAUUAUUCAUAACAGCCAAAAAGUGGAAACAAUUGAAAUGCCUACCAAUAGACGAAUGGAUAAAAAAAUGUGGUAUAUCCACGAAAUGGAAUACAAUUCAGCCAUAGAAAAGAGUAAAGUAUUGAUACAUGGUACAUGGAUGAAUCUUGCAAACAUUCUGCUAAGUGGAAGAAGCCAGACUCAAAAGACCAUAGAUUGUAUUAUUCCGUUUAUAGUAAAUGUUCAGAAUAGGCCAAUCUGUAGAGAUAUAAAUAAGAUUCGUGGUUGCUAGGGGCGGGGGAGAGGAGGGAGUGACUGCUGAAAGGGUACAGGGGUUCCUUUUGUGGUGACGAAAAUGUUCUGGAACUGGAGAGUGGUAAUGGUUGCGCAAAAUUGUGAAUAUAUGAAAUGACACUGGAUUUUGUACGGCAACCUCCCUUGUCCACAGGGGAAACGUUCCAGGACCCCCAGCGGAUUCCUGAAACCGAGGAUAGACUGAACUCUACAUAUGCUAUGCUUUUUCAUAUAUAUACACGCUUAUGAUAAAGUUUAAUUUGUAAAUUGGGCACUGUACAAGAUUAACAACGGUAACUAAUAAUAAAGUAGAACAAUCAUAAUGAUAUUAUGUGAUAAAAGUUACUGUGGAUCUUAGCCACCUCUGCAUAUAAUUUUUUUCUUUCCUUAUUAAGUUGAGAGCUUUCGCCUUUUCGCUUAAAGGAAGCACUGUUUGGCUUCUCUUUGGCAACUCCGAACUACCAGCAUCCCUGCUCUUGCACUUGGAGGAGGUCCUCAUCCCUUGUCUGCAAUUCUGAAACCUACGAUGCACCAUAAAGCAGAAGCUUUUCUGGGAAAACUCUUUUUCCUGAGCUCCCCUGGACUGAUGAGAGUGCAUUGACCUCUUUGGGAGUGCACUUCAGUCCAGGCUUGGCCUGUGGAGGUAAACUAGUCUUCAUAGCCCUGGCGUGGAUGUGAACUCAAACUCCCCUCUGGAUUCCGGAGCUGUGACAAUCUCCUCCUCUCACCUGACUUUGGAGAAAUACAUGCAGACUGCCCUUGCUCCUCUGGACUGUGACAAUUUCUCAGACUCGCCUCGUUUUUGACGACCUGAACAUCUUUGAGGAGGACUGGUCAGGCAUUUGGGAGAAAUGUCCUUCAGCUGGGGGUUUCAUUUGGGACUUAUACAGAAGACUGCGCUGGCUUGUCAUGCGUCUUGUUCAUCACUGAGCUUUCCAUGGUGUCAGGCACGAUGACUGGCGAAUGGUAGGUGUUUGAUACGCGUCUAGUGGUUGAUUGUUUGCAUUUGCUGAGGAUGGAGAAAGUGGAGGCCUGCAUACUUCAAAAGUCCGGAAGUUACAGACGUCAGCGAACAUGGACUGACCUAGCUCAGCUCUGAGCAGAGAGAAGUGGUUUAGUAACUUUGGUAGUGUUUUACUUCCUUUUUGCAUAAUUUUUGCAUAAUUGCCUGAAGAAGCGAGGGGAGUGGACAUUGCUGUGAUACCAAGACUACCGUGGCCGACGAACCAUGGGUGUGCCAGGGUCAUCCAGCUUUGAGAGUAGCACCAUCACACACUUCGUUGCUCAAGCAAGAAACCUGGACAUCGUACUUACUCUUCCUUCUCUUCCAGCUACUACUGUCGGUCAACAGUCAAGGGCUGCUAAAUAUGCCUUCUUUGUUUUUUAUUCUUUUUUCAAAUUUUUAAAUUUUAUUGAGGCCACAACGGUUUAUAACAUCAUGUAAAUUUCAUGUGUAUAUCAUUGUAUUUUGGCUUCUGUAUAGACUGCAUCCUGUUCACCACCGAAAGUCUAGUUACCAUCCGUCACCAACCAUAUGUGUCCCUUCACCCCUUUUGCCCUUCCCAUUCUCUUCCCCUCUGGUAACCACCAAUCUCUUUUCCUUAUCCACGUGUCUGUUUAUCUUCCACAUAUGAGUGAAAUUGUAUGAUAUUUGUUUUUCUCUGUCUGACAUAUUUUGCUUAGCCUAAUACCCUCAAGGUCCAUUCAUGUUGUUGCCAACGGCACGAUUUCUUCUGUUUUUAAGGUUGAGUAGUUUUCAUUGUUUAUCAACUAGGAGAAGAUAUUUGCAAAUCGUAUUUUUUUCCAAUCGUAUAUAAUUUUUUUCCAAAUCGUAUAUAAUUUCCAAAAUAUAUAAAGAACUCAUACAAUUCAACAACAAAAAAAGAAUAACCCGAUCAAAAAAUGGGCAG